rnacentral:tRNA from 1 species
GUUCCCGUGUUGUAGUGGUUAUCACGUGCGCCUCACACGCGCAAGGUUCCGGUUCGAUCCCUGGCGGGAACA